rnacentral:misc_RNA from 1 species
GUGAAUCAUCAAAUUUUUGAACGCAAAUUGCACUCUCCUCUGAGAGUAGGCCUGUUUGAGUUUCAGCCUAUAAAAAAUCGACAUCGUUUCUGUUUCGCUGUGGCUUUCGUCGGAAAUUUGCUCAUCUUAAAUCCUUUGGAUUUAAGCGACUUAAAAUUUUCUUUUGGUUCCAGGAACUUUUCUAAGAUCUAGUUCUUUACACUGUUAAGGUAUCGAUUUUUACUAUACGCCACCAUCAUAUCUGAGCGCGGCCAUAAUCUUUCA